rnacentral:rRNA from 1 species
GACGAGCGCUGGCGGCGUGCCUAAUACAUGCAAGUCGAGCGCAGGAAACUGACGGAACUCUUCGGAGGGAAGGCAGUGGAAUGAGCGGCGGACGGGUGAGUAACACGUAAGGAACCUGCCUCAAGGAUUGGGAUAACUCCGAGAAAUCGGAGCUAAUACCGGAUAGUUCAUCGGACCGCAUGGUCCGUUGAUGAAAGGCGCUUCGGAGUCACCUUGAGAUGGCCUUGCGGUGAAUUAGCUAGUUGGUGGGGUAACGGCCCACCAAGGCGACGAUGCAUAGCCGACCUGGGAGGGUGAUCGGCCACACUGGGACUGAGACACGGCCCAGACUCCUACGGGAGGCAGCAGUAGGGAAUCUUCCACAAUGGACGAAAGUCCGAUGGAGCAACGCCGCGUGAGUGAUGAAGGUUUUCGGAUCGUAAAACUCUGUUGUAAGGGAAGAACACGUACGAGAGGGAAUGCUCGUACCUUGACGGUACCUUACGAGAAAGCCACGGCUAACUACGUGCCAGCCGCCGCCGUAAGAC